GGCGGACGGGUGAGUAACGCGUGAGGAACCUGCCUUUCAGAGGGGGACAACAGUUGGAAACGACUGCUAAUACCGCAUAACGCAUAGAGAUCGCAUGGUUUUUAUGCCAAAGAUUUAUCGCUGAAAGAUGGCCUCGCGUCUGAUUAGCUGGUUGGCGGGGUAACGGCCCACCAAGGCGACGAUCAGUAGCCGGACUGAGAGGUUGAACGGCCACAUUGGGACUGAGACACGGCCCAGACUCCUACGGGAGGCAGCAGUGGGGGAUAUUGCACAAUGGAGGAAACUCUGAUGCAGCGACGCCGCGUGAGGGAAGAAGGUCUUCGGAUUGUAAACMUCUGUCUUUAGGGACGAAGAAAGUGACGGUACCUAAAGAGGAAGCCACGGCUAACUACGUGCCAGCAGCCGCGGUAAUACGUAGGUGGCGGGCGUUGUCCGGAUUUACUGGGUGUAAAGGGUGCGUAGGCGGGUUAUCAAGUUGGGUGUGAAACCUCCGUGCUUAACACGGAGCCUGCAUUCAAAACUGGUAAUCUUGAGUGAGGUAGAGGUAGAUGGAAUUCCCGGUGUAGCGGUGAAAUGCGUAGAGAUCGGGAGGAACACCAGUGGCGAAGGCGGUCUACUGGGCCUUAACUGACGCUGAGGCACGAAAGCAUGGGUAGCAAACAGGAUUAGAUACCCUGGUAGUCCAUGCUGUAAACGCUUUUCUAGGUGUGGGUGGACUGACCCCAUCCGUGCCGGAGUCAACACAAUAAGCAAUCCACC
rnacentral:rRNA from 1 species